CAGAAGGCGGGUUCUGGUCCAAAAUCAUCAGAUCAGAACCGGCUGAGAUGAAAAAGAACAUUCUGGAAACGCGAACAGAACCGCCCUCAGGCUCGGGAGGAGGAUCUAACUGGGUCACAACCGGUUCUGGUUCUUCAUGUCUUUCAAAUGAAACAGACUCUGAGUGCGUUCGCCAUGGAAACACUUUAAUGAUCCGGUAAAGAGCAGCCGGCAGAUAAAAGCCUGACUAACAGGUUCUGUGUGGCGCCGGUCCAAAUGGACCUGCAGAGCAGAAGGUUCAGGGCCAGUCGGCUGGUGGAGGAGAGGUUACAAUAGGAGAGAGAGAAGCUGCAGCUGGAAACGCCCUGAUGGCGUGAAG